ensembl:lncRNA
UCUGUUAAAAUCAAAAUGAAUACACACCUUGAAACAUCACUGUUAUUUUAAAGCACAAAUAAUGACUACAGCCAAACAACAAAUUAAAACAGAAUCUAAUAAAACAGAGUUUGAAAAACCUGCCAAACUGACAAAAGCUCAUCGCCACACCGCAGUUUAGUAGAAAUAUCAGAGGUUGCAACAUAGUCGACAUAAACUCCCGUUAAACUAUUACAUUACGUUUAACUUACUUUUUAGAACAGCACAUUAAUGAUACAUUACCUCAGUGAAAAUGAUACAAGUUUCCGUCGAUGAAAACCUCACUGCCAGGCCAUGUUUACCUAGUCAUUGCGCAUGCGUAUUAUUCGAAAGGUCCGACUUACUGGGGCGAAUCGGUUCUUUCGAAUAGUUCGGCUCAAUGAAUCAGGAAAAAGAGUGAAGUUCGGAGUAAUUUUGUGAACCCCAAACCGAUUCAUUCAAAAGAGUCGACUCAAAAACAAAUCGUUCACGAACCUCAUUUUCAUUCUCACUGACUGCCACCACAACUUUAUGACUGAUUUGUUGGAUUAUCACCAUUCACCCCUCUUUUACCAACAUUCAAGUGUCAUCCCAUUCCCCACCCUUUCCACUGAGGGAUAAGGAUGAUCCAUGCUGCAGCAGUGAGAGUGCACUGACCAUAAACAAUUCAUUACGAGGGCAGGACGGCUGAGGAACAGAUAUCUGCCCAGACCAAGACACAGUUCAAAUGUGAGCAAGAUGAAUGAUGGAUGACAAAGGAUGAGAUCAUCUUUGUGGGAUGUUUUGCAAUAGACCCGCUGAAGUCUUUGGAUGAAAGUAUGGAUGUUCAUUUGAAGAAGCAGCAAUCCAGAACCAAAUGCAUGCGGCAGCUUCUUAAACCCCUGCGGGAGGCUCACUGUCUGAGCUUGGCAUGACAUCUGCCGAGUGCAUGCAGUUCAAGUGAUGUCAUAGGACAAGUGAAUGAUGGACAAAAUCCCCCAGAUGGACAUUCAUCCCAUAAACAGAAAGAAACACACACACACCUACACAUAGAGAUAGAGUCUUAGAGACAAGAAAGGACAGGAAGCUAGAACAGAGGGGACAGAAAAAUGAGAGAAUGAGAAGUGGAGACGCAAGCAAAGGAUACAAAGUAUCCUUACGCAUGUACACA